rnacentral:lncRNA from 1 species
GGCCAGGCUGGUCUCGAACUCGCCUUGGUCUCCCAAAGUGCUGGGAUUACAGGUAGAGACAGGAUUUUACCAUGUUGGCAAAGGCUGGUCUCCACCCGCCUUGGCCUCCCAAAGUGCUGGGAUUACAGGUGUGAGCCACCGUGCCCAGCCACCCCAAGCCUUUCUGGUGAACCAGCCAGGCCUCUGGGCUGGGCUCUGGAGCCUCAGGAAGUCCCUUCAGGUGUCUGAUGUCCAGUCCGCUCCCUCUUGGUUCUUGGUUCCCCCUGUGUUCCUGCUGCUGUUCUUGAAGGAUGCGUGUGUGCCGGUCUGCUGUGCAUGUGUGUAUCUGCAUGUCUGUGAUGCAUGCGCAUGCGUCUGUAUGUGCGUUGUGUGUGCAGGACUUUGAUUCUGUGCAACUCUGUGCAUAUCUAUGUGUCUACAUAAGUGUGCACAUGUGUACUCAUUUGUGUGUGUGUAUCUGUGUGUCUGCAUAUUUGCACAUGCUUGUCUGUAUGUUUGUGGUAUGUUCCGUCUACAUGAGUGUAUGUGGCUGGGGCUGUGUCUGCAUAAGUAUGUGUCUAUCUGGGAGUGCAUAUAUGUGUGCAUGUGUGUGUGUGAGAUUGUGCAUGAGCUAAGACAACGACAGGCACUUCCUGGGCAGGAAGGCUGUAUCCAGGGUCCUGCACAUAGUAGGUGCUCAGUGAACAUUUGCUGAACUCAGCUGAACUGAACUGAAUGAACUUGCUUCAGUGAGUUAUUUUCCCAAGGGCAAAGACAUUAUGAGGGGACUGAGGGGAAAGGAAAGAAGGAAAAAGCUAUUGGGCUGAUGAAGGUGGGAGAGUAAGGAAGGGGUGAGGAGGAGGUCAUGGGCAGGGAGGAUGCCUGGCAACCCUAGGGCAAAAGACCCCUUCUGGUGCCCCUCCGGUCCUGUGGGCUGCAGGAGGUGGUGCAAACAGCCAGAAGUGUCAGCCACACGGGCGCUCAGCCUGGCCUCUCUGUCUCCCACAGCUGCCACUGGGCCCAAGGGAUGGGUGCUCUCCUAGGCGCCCCUUCCCCUGGCAGGGGCCGAGGACGCUGCUGCUGUACAAAAGUCCCCAGGACGGCUUUGGCUUCACUCUGCGCCACUUCAUCGUGUACCCACCCGAGUCGGCCGUGCACUGCAGCCUGAAGGAGGAAGAGAAUGGAGGCCGCGGAGGAGGACCCUCCCCCCGGCACCGCCUGGAGCCCAUGGACACCAUCUUUGUCAAGAAUGUGAAGGAAGACGGCCCUGCCCAUAGGGCGGGGCUUCGCACAGGAGACCGGCUGGUAAAGGUGAAUGGGGAAAGCGUCAUUGGGAAGACCUACUCUCAGGUCAUAGCUCUG